rnacentral:rRNA from 1 species
CCUACGGGAGGCAGCAGUCGAGAAUCAUUCACAAUGGGGGAAACCCUGAUGGUGCGACGCCGCGUGGGGGAAUGAAGGUCUUCGGAUUGUAAACCCCUGUCAUGUGGGAGCAAAUUAAAAAGAUAGUACCACAAGAGGAAGAGACGGCUAACUCUGUGCCAGCAGCCGCGGUAAUACAGAGGUCUCAAGCGUUGUUCGGAAUCACUGGGCGUAAAGCGUGCGUAGGCUGUUUCGUAAGUCGUGUGUGAAAGGUGCGGGCUCAACCCGCGGACGGCACAUGAUAAUGCGAGACUAGAGUAAUGGAGGGGGAACCGGAAUUCUCGGUGUAGCAGUGAAAUGCGUAGAUAUCGAGAGGAACACUCGUGGCGAAGGCGGGUUCCUGGACAUUAACUGACGCUGAGGCACGAAGGCCAGGGGAGCGAAAGGGAUUAGAUACCCCGGUAGUC